GAUGAACGCUGGCGGCGUGCCUAAUACAUGCAAGUCGAGCGAACAGACGAGGAGCUUGCUCCUCUGACGUUAGCGGCGGACGGGUGAGUAACACGUGGAUAACCUACCUAUAAGACUGGGAUAACUUCGGGAAACCGGAGCUAAUACCGGAUAAUAUAUUGAACCGCAUGGUUCAAUAGUGAAAGACGGUUUUGCUGUCACUUAUAGAUGGAUCCGCGCCGCAUUAGCUAGUUGGUAAGGUAACGGCUUACCAAGGCAACGAUGCGUAGCCGACCUGAGAGGGUGAUCGGCCACACUGGAACUGAGACACGGUCCAGCCUCCUACGGGAGGCAGCAGUAGGGAAUCUUCCGCAUUGGGCGAAAGCCUGACGGAGCAACGCCGCGUGAGUGAUGCAGGUCUUCGGAUCGUAAAACUCUGUUAUUAGGGAAGAACAAAUGUGUAAGUAACUAUGCACGUCUUGACGGUACCUAAUCAGAAAGCCACGGCUAACUACGUG
rnacentral:rRNA from 1 species